rnacentral:snoRNA from 14 species
GGAUGUUCAUGCAUAGCUAGAAUAAAUCUUGUGGGAUGGUGAAAAAAAAUCAUGCUCAAUAGGAUUACACUGAGGCCC